UACGUAGGGGGCUAGCGUUGUCCGGAAUCAUUGGACGUAAAGAGCGUGUAGGCGGCCCGGUAAGUCCGCUGUGAAAGUCGGGGGCUCAACCCUCGAAUGCCGGUGGAUACUGUCGGGCUAGAGUGCGGAAGAGGCGAGUGGAAUUCCUGGUGUAGCGGUGAAAUGCGCAGAUAUCAGGAGGAACACCAAUUGCGAAGGCAGCUCGCUGGGACGUAACUGACGCUGAGACGCGAAAGCGUGGAGAGCAAACAGG
rnacentral:rRNA from 1 species